rnacentral:rRNA from 1 species
UGGGGAAUAUUGCACAAUGGGCGGAAGCCUGAUGCAGCAACGCCGCGUGCGGGAUGACGGCCUUCGGGUUGUAAACCGCUUUCGCCUGUGACGAAGCGUGAGUGACGGUAAUGGGUAAAGAAGCACCGGCUAACUACGUGCCAGCAGCCGCGGUGAUACGUAGGGUGCGAGCGUUGUCCGGAUUUAUUGGGCGUAAAGGGCUCGUAGGUGGUUGAUCGCGUCGGAAGUGUAAUCUUGGGGCUUAACCCUGAGCGUGCUUUCGAUACGGGUUGACUUGAGGAAGGUAGGGGAGAAUGGAAUUCCUGGAGGAGCGGUGGAAUGCGCAGAUAUCAGGAGGAACACCAGUGGCGAAGGCGGUUCUCUGGGCCUUUCCUGACGCUGAGGAGCGAAAGCGUGGGGAGCGAACAGGCUUAGAUACCCUGGUAGUCCACGCUGUAAACGGUGGGUACUAGGUGUGGGGUCCAUUCCACGGGUUCCGUGCCGUANCUAACGCUUUAAGUACCCCGCCUGGGGAGUACGGCCGCAAGGCUA